ensembl:lncRNA
AAAACACACACAUGCAAAGCUGAAGUGUCACAGGCAACAAAUGAUUUUUACUUAGAUUUCUUUCACUGUAGUUGUAAAAAGUUUAAAGUUCAUAUGUAUUCAACAUGUUUGUAUCAUAUCUGUGCUGAACAAAUGUGUCCUGAGCUCUGACGUCUCUUUUAGAGGACAGUCUGAUGUAUGCUGAGGUCAAACAGCCCAAAAAAGAAAAAGCCAAUGUUACACCCCGGCCUAGGCAACCGGAGUGCAACACGAAAAAAAUAAAAAUAAAGAAAAAACACACGAGAAAGAACUAAUACGGACCCUCCACAAAAUUAAUCCCAAAACGAGAUUUAAAGCAAAAUACCACAUUUAUUUACAUCACCAAACACAAGACGUCAAACUAUUUACAACGGGGGGAAGAUCGCGACCAUGACAUACAGAAACACAAGGCUUAAAUACAUAGAAGGAGCAAUCAGGGAAUGGACCACAGGAGGGAAACACAGCUGGGGCAAAUUAGACCUGACGAGACAAGGAAACGUAAACUGAACACACUAAGAUAACAGACCUUCAAAAUAAAACAGGAAACACAUGACAGUCACGCAAAAACAAAACACUGACAACACCGAAACGUAACACCAAGAAAAACAAAGGUGAGCAAAGUCUGCCAUCAUCUCCACUGAAUAUUGUUCAACAUGUUUAUCUGCUCUUACAAUGUAAAUCUGUUUAUUUUAAUAUUUAUAUUUAUGUAUUCACAAUCCAUCAGCUUUUAAAAAUCUACUAUUUUAUCUUUGCAUUAGUGGAGACAUCCAGUUUCCUCCUGGUUAAUGAUAUUAUUGUUUUCAAUGAUCUUCUCGUCAUUCACAGGAACAUCAAGUCCUGCAGCUGAUGCAGCAGUUUAUUCUGAAGUCACAUCAGGAAGCUCUCUCA